rnacentral:rRNA from 1 species
UGGGGAAUAUUGCACAAUGGGCGAAAGCCUGAUGCAGCAACGCCGCGUGAGUGAUGAAGGUCUUCGGAUUGUAAAGCUCUGUCUUUUGGGACGAUAAUGACGGUACCAAAGGAGGAAGCCACGGCUAACUACGUGCCAGCAGCCGCGGUAAUACGUAGGUGGCGAGCGUUGUCCGGAUUUACUGGGCGUAAAGGGUGCGUAGGCGGAUGUUUAAGUGAGAUGUGAAAUACCCGGGCUUAACUUGGGUGCUGCAUUUCAAAGCUGGAUAUCUAGAGUGCAGGAGAGGAGAAUGGAAUUCCUAGUGUAGCGGUGAAAUGCGUAGAGAUUAGGAAGAACACCAGUGGCGAAGGCGAUUCUCUGGACUGUAACUGACGCUGAGGCACGAAAGCGUGGGUAGCAAACAGGAUUAGAUACCCUGGUAGUCCACGCC